rnacentral:precursor_RNA from 1 species
GAGGACCGUAUUCAUGGAAGAGGAUUGAACAGAGAUGAAGUAGACAGUAUGUUGGAUAAAUCUGGAGUAAAGAACCCAGCAAUUGGUAAAGAUGAGAAUAUAUCGCCUCAAGUAAAAGGAGAUGAAGACAUGGGAGAUGAAAUUGACAGUAUGUUGGCUACAUCUGGAGGUCUUUUCUCCUGAGAACACGGGACUCCAGCAUCCUCGGAUUCUGCUCUUGGAGCUGCAUCAUUGGACUGAAAGUGAAUGGCCCAUGUGUUGCCACUGAUGUGAGCCAUUUGCCUGUUGUGCUUCA